rnacentral:rRNA from 1 species
UUAGAGUUUGAUCCUGGCUCAGAACGAACGCUGGCGGCAGGCCUAAUACAUGCAAGUCGAACGCCCCGAAUGGGGAGUGGCGGACGGGUGAGUAACGCGUGGGAACCUACCCAGGAGUCCGGAAUAACGUCGAGAAAUCGUCGCUAAUACCGGAUACGUCCCGAGGGAGAAAGUUUUUCGCUCUUGGAUGGGCCCGCAUCGGAUUAGCUAGUUGGUGAGGUAAAAGCUCACCAAGGCGACGAUCCGUAGCUGGUCUGAGAGGAUGAUCAGCCACACUGGGACUGAGACACGGCCCAGACUCCUACGGGAGGCAGCAGUGGGGAAUAUUGGACAAUGGGCGAAAGCCUGAUCCAGCCAUGCCGCGUGAGUGAAGAAGGCCCUAGGGUUGUAAAACUCUUUCAACGGUGAAGAUAAUGACGGUAACCGUAGAAGAAGCCCCGGCUAAUUUCGUGCCAGCAGCCGCGGUAAUACGAAAGGGGCUAGCGUUGUUCGGAAUUACUGGGCGUAAAGCGCGCGUAGGCGGCCUAGCAAGUUGGGGGUGAAAUCCCGGAGCUCAACUCCGGAACUGCCUUCAAAACUGCUAAGCUUGAGGAUGUGAGAGGUGAAUGGAAUUCCGAGUGUAGAGGUGAAAUUCGUAGAUAUUCGGAAGAACACCAGUGGCGAAGGCGAUUCACUGGCGCAUUUCUGACGCUGAGGCGCGAAAGCGUGGGGAGCGAACAGGAUUAGAUACCCUGGUAGUCCACGCCG